GGGGGGUAAAAGGGAUAACUCCUAGGGUCAACUGGUCAAAUCAGUCUGGGUAACCGAUUAGACCGGUUUCCACCUGGAAGCUAGAGAAGGGUUGAGCUUUGAGAGAUCUUGGUCCCACUCUUUCUCACAAGAUUGGAUAUAAGAUUUUAGAUAGAUAUUGAUCCAAAGUUGACAUGUCUUAGAAGAAUUUUUGAUAAUCCAAGUAUGCCAUCACUUCUUGAUUCUUCCAAGAGAGAGGUGAGAGAUAGACAAAGAUUUAUGGACUUGAUAAAAUCUCACCACUUGUGACUAGCCAUCAAUCAAUUAAAGUAAACAAUAGUCACAAGUGGGUCGAUGAGUCAUAG
rnacentral:lncRNA from 1 species